rnacentral:rRNA from 1 species
UACGGGGGGGAGCAAGCGUUGUUCGGAUUUACUGGGCGUAAAGGGCGCGUAGGCGGUCGUGACAAGUCACUUGUGAAAUCUCCGGGCUUAACUCGGAACGGUCAAGUGAUACUGUCGGACUAGAGUACAGAAGGGGCAACUGGAAUUCUCGGUGUAGCGGUGAAAUGCGCAGAUAUCGGGGAGGAACACCAAUGGCGAAGGCAGCUCGCUGGGACGUUACUGACGCUGAGACGCGAAAGCUAGGGGAGCGAACGGG